GGCUGUCGUCAGCUCGUGUCGUGAGAUGUGGGUUAAGUCCGCAACGAGCGCAACCCUCGUCCUUAGUUGCUAACAGUUCGGCUGAGCACUCUAGGGAGACUGCCUUCGCAAGGAGGAGGAAGGUGAGGACGACGUCAAGUCAUCAUGGCCCUUACGGCCAGGGCUACACACGUGCUACAAUGGGGCGUACAGAGAGCUGCGAUACCGCGAGGUGGAGCCAAUCUCUUAAAGCGUCUCUCAGUUCGGAUUGUUCUCUGCAACUCGAGAACAUGAAGCUGGAAUCACUAGUAAUCGCAGAUCAGCUAUGCUGCGGUGAAUACGUUCCCGGGUCUU
rnacentral:rRNA from 1 species